rnacentral:ncRNA from 1 species
AAGCUCUAUCAGUUGUUUUGCUGUUUGAACUGAGAAUUUUCUUCCGAAGGAGAACGAUGUCAGGAAGAAAAAGAGCAA